rnacentral:rRNA from 1 species
AGAGUUUGAUCAUGGCUCAGGAUGAACGCUGGCGGCGUGCAUAACACAUUCAAGUCGAACGGGACUAAACCGAUUAAUCCUUCGGGAAGCGUUGAUUUAGUUUAGUGGCGGACGGGUGAGUAACGCGUGAGCAACCUACCUUGAAGAGGGGGAUAACACAGGGAAACUUGUGCUAAUACCGCAUAACAUAUGACGAUCGCAUGGUCGACAUAUCAAAGCUCCGACGCUUCAAGAUGGGCUCGCGUCUGAUUAGAUAGUUGGCAGGGUAACGGCCUACCAAGUCUGCGAUCAGUAGCCGGACUGAGAGGUUGAACGGCCACAUUGGAACUGAGAUACGGUCCAGACUCCUACGGGAGGCAGCAGUGGGGAAUAUUGGGCAAUGGGCGCAAGCCUGACCCAGCGACGCCGCGUGAGGGAAGAAGGUCUUCGGAUUGUAAACCUUAGUCAACAGGGACGAAGCAUGACGGUACCUGUGGAGGAAGCCACGGCUAACUACGUGCCAGCAGCCGCGGUAAUACGUAGGUGGCGAGCGUUAUCCGGAUUUACUGGGCGUAAAGGGUGUGUAGGCGGGACGGUAAGUCAGAUGUGAAAACUAUGGGCUUAACUCAUAGCCUGCAUUUGAAACUGCUGUUCUUGAGAGUCGGAGAGGUAAAUGGAAUUCCCGGUGUAGCGGUGAAAUGCAUAGAUAUCGGGAGGAACACCAGUGGCGAAGGCGAUUUACUGGACGACCACUGACGCUGAGACACGAAAGUGUGGGGAGCAAACAGGAUUAGAUACCCUGGUAGUCCACACUGUAAACGAUGAAUGCUAGGUGUAGGGGGAGAUAUUCCUCUGUGCCGCAGCUAACGCAAUAAGCAUUCCGCCUGGGGAGUACGGCCGCAAGGUUGAAACUCAAAGGAAUUGACGGGAGCCCGCACAAGCAGUGGAGUAUGUGGUUUAAUUCGACGCAACGCGAAGAACCUUACCUAAACUUGACAUCCCGGGAAAGCCGAUGUAAUGUUGGCCGUGCCCUUCGGGGAACCCGGAGACAGGUGGUGCAUGGUUGUCGUCAGCUCGUGUCGUGAGAUGUUGGGUUAAGUCCCGCAACGAGCGCAACCCUUACGGUCAGUUGCUACGCAAGAGCACUCUGGCCGGACUGCCGUUGACAAAACGGAGGAAGGCGGGGACGACGUCAAAUCAUCAUGCCCCUUACGUUUAGGGCUACACACGUACUACAAUGGCGCGAACAAAGGGAAGCGAUGCCGCGAGGCGGAGCAAAACCCAUAAAGCGCGUCCCAGUUCGGACUGCAGGCUGCAACCCGCCUGCACGAAGUUGGAAUUGCUAGUAAUCGCGGAUCAGCAUGCCGCGGUGAAUACGUUCCCGGGCUUUGUACACACCGCCCGUCAAACCAUGAAAGUUGGGAACACCCGAAGCCUGUGAGCUAACCGCAAGGAGGCAGCAGUCGAAGGUGGGUUCAAUGAUUGGGGUUAAGUCGUAACAAGGUAGCCGUA